AGCGAACGCUGGCGGCAGGCCUAACACAUGCAAGUCGAACGGGUCCUUCGGGAUUAGUGGCGGACGGGUGAGUAACACGUGGGAACGUGCCCUUUGGUUCGGAACAACUCAGGGAAACUUGAGCUAAUACCGGAUGUGCCCUUCGGGGGAAAGAUUUAUCGCCAUUGGAGCGGCCCGCGUCUGAUUAGCUAGUUGGUGAGGUAACGGCCCACCAAGGCGACGAUCAGUAGCUGGUCUGAGAGGAUGAUCAGCCACACUGGGACUGAGACACGGCCCAGACUCCUACGGGAGGCAGCAGUGGGGAAUCUUGCGCAAUGGGCGAAAGCCUGACGCAGCCAUGCCGCGUGAAUGAUGAAGGUCUUAGGAUUGUAAAAUUCUUUCAGCGGGGACGAUAAUGACGGUACCCGCAGAAGAAGCUCCGGCUAACUUCGUG
rnacentral:rRNA from 1 species